UCUCCGUCCGACGCAGGUUCACGACCACCGCGCAGACCGGACCGGCUCCGUAGCCAUGUAUGCGCGCACGGUUUGCUCUGUAUCCUGCUUCGUAGCACUUUGGGCUAUGUUUGGUCACGGCGAAGCCAAUGCAAACCAAAGGCCGUAUGCGGUGCUCCAAACCCAAAAUUUAGCGCUGUUCGUUGGCGUGCUAUCUGUUCUCCUGUUGGCGAUACUAACCGGAGCAGUGUGCGUCUACAAACCCGUGCGGCGACGGUGACGGGGAUCGGUAAACCGAGGAGACGGCGCGGUGGGCACAGAGAUGCGCACGGACACAGCGCCGCUUGGAGCCCUUCACGGAGUAGUUACUGGGUCGCCUACCGUAUAAUCUGUACGAUCAGACAUUAGAAUGAACUUUUCUUUUCCUUCAAGUCAGUUUAAUACGUCGCCAACAUACUGUAUCGAUUAAUCGAAUAUUUCGUGACAUUGUAUACUUUCCUAGUUUUACGCUAGUUUACACGUCUGCACAAAUAUCAGGGAAAAUCAACAUAGAUCAUGUACCACUGAAUGCGUUUAACCUGUUUUAAAUAAUUUGCUGCUAAAUUAUUACAUUAUGCAUUACCUGCACUUUGAUUUUACGUGAAUAUAUUUUCAUGAAUGUCUUUCUUUUGCCAGUAGGCCUAUUUAUUGCCAGAUUUUGUACCCCUUUUAUUUUAUGAAUUUUGAUAUAUGAAAUAAAUUAUUUCAGCCUGACAUUUGCAAAUAAAUUUGGUCUAGUUUUA